AGGGAGACAACAAANUGUUUAAUAUUAUUAUUUUGUCACCUUAGGUCGAUCGGGAUCUCACGUUCUUAAUUUGUUAAGAAUUUCAUUUCCUAAGUUUUUCUAGGUCACACCCAUUAUUUUUCCUGGGCCAUUAGCUCAGGUGGUUAGAGCGCACCCCUGAUAAGGGUGAGGUCCCUGGUUCAAGUCCAGGAUGGCCCAUAUCUCUAUGUUGGGGGUAUAGCUCAGUUGGUAGAGCGCCUGCUUUGCAAGCAGGAUGUCAGCGGUUCGAGUCCGCUUACCUCCACUGAUUACCACCUCUUCCAUAACUGGUAGAAAGGAAAUGUUUUGAGUUGUGAUUAUUAUUCUGAACGAAUCUAGCUUCCUAAUGAAAUCAUUAAGAUGCUGGACUCAUUGAAUUAAUUUCAUUGUUUUCAGAGAACCUUGACAACUGCAUAGAUUUUUUUAAAGACAAUAAGCAUCUUUAAUGAUGCAGAUUUAUUAUUUGUGCGAAUGCAUUAAUAACAAUUCUAUUAAGCUGAUGCUUCAAUUUUUGAAGUUAUU
rnacentral:tRNA from 1 species